AAGUUUGGGUUAGAUUGCUCAUCUUCUAAUUUUAUAUAUCUUGGAAUUCAAAUAACGAGAAACCCUCUUAAUCUUAUGGAGAGUAACUUUAUGUCUCUACUUAAAUAUACUAGUAAAAAAUGUAAAGAGUGGAAAUCUUGGGAAGUUUCGUGGUGAGGAAGAAUACACAUCGUAAAAUCAUAUAUUCUACCAAAAUGGAUAUACCUAUUUCGUAUGUUACCUGUAGCCUGUCCAGAUAGUUGGUUGAGUUUGGUGCAAUCUAUAUUCAAUACAUUUAUAUGGUUGGGUAAACAUCCACGUAUU